AACGAACGCUGGCGGCAGGCUUAACACAUGCAAGUCGAGCGCCCCGCAAGGGUAGCGGCAGACGGGUGAGUAACGCGUGGGAAUCUACCCAUCUCUACGGAAUAACGCAUGGAAACGUGUGCUAAUACCGUAUACGUCCUUCGGGAGAAAGAUUUAUCGGAGAUGGAUGAGCCCGCGUUGGAUUAGCUAGUUGGUGGGGUAAAGGCCUACCAAGGCGACGAUCCAUAGCUGGUCCGAGAGGAUGAUCAGCCACACUGGGACUGAGACACGGCCCAGACUCCUACGGGAGGCAGCAGUGGGGAAUAUUGGACAAUGGGCGCAAGCCUGAUCCAGCCAUGCCGCGUGAGUGAUGAAGGCCCUAGGGUUGUAAAGCUCUUUCACCGGUGAAGAUAAUGACGGUAACCGGAGAAGAAGCCCCGGCUAACUUCGUGCCAGCCGCCGCCGUAAUAC
rnacentral:rRNA from 1 species